CUACCCCAACCAAUCCCACAUUUUCCUCACCCUCCUCAACUCCCUCCAACUUCCCAACCCUUUACAUAUAUAUAACACAAUCAGGGGAGACAAUUAAAAAAAAAAAAAAAAAAGGAGAUUGAAAAAUCAAACAAAAAAUAACUAUGUACAUUGAGACACAAACAGAGAGAACAUUGAGAACAAGAAGCAAAGAGGAACACUGAAAAACAACAAAGGAAAAAACAAUUGGAGAAAACAGAAAACGAGACAACAUCAAAAGAGUUUGGGGUUUCUGAGUUGAGUUUUUGAUGACGGCGUUUGCUCCUUUACUCGAUUUAAUUUAUCACACAGAUCAUAGAAGUGGUUGCAAGGCUGAUGAUAAAAUAAUGCGUGAAGUCAGGAGUAGAUAAGCAAUAUAUUCAGAUAUGCUUUCAACAUGUAUCACAUGCAGAAAAGAGGUUGAGAGGAAGAUAAACACAACACUUGAAGAUUGAGAAAACAAAGGAAUCCUAUCUAGACAAGGAGACAUAAUGCAACAAGGAGUGUAACUAACUGAUAGAGUUCUAUUGAAGAAAGAAGAUUAGAUCAUCUGCAGGACUUCAUCAAAAUUGGCUUAAAUAGAAAAAACUAUCUCAAAGAGUUUCACUCAAGCACUAAUAAGAAAAGCAUCAAUCAGCAAAUUCAUUCACUAGCUAAAAGAAAAACCUGUUCCUUUACUUAGAGAGUCGUAGAUUUUUUGUAAUAAGUUGGUUCUUUGAGUUGUAAUGAGCUUUAAUUCUAGUCUGAGUGAACUAUAAAUUGAGUUAGGGGUUGUGUCUUCAAGUUAGGAAACUCAAAGACUUAGGAACACUUAUCUUGGGAAGAUUUAUGUUAUUGUAGAAAUAGAAGUUAGAGUUUCUAGUUUACAAGAGUCUUGUAAUUUGUUGAUUGUUGAGGCUCAAGAGUUUGAGUGGAGUUGAAGUUAAAUUCGGUAAAGGUACAGAUCGUGAUUUUUUACACC